CUGUUGAGAUUCUAUACAGGCAUUCAUCCUUCUUGGGAAGUGGAGCUCGCUUCUUUCAAUUGAGUUUUUCUGGUCUCGCAUUAAAUUUGACUUGCUAGUUAGUUUAAAUCAUCAGAUACAACUCUAUGGUUGGUACUUGAAAGGAGUUCAAGGCCAGCAACUGAAAAAAUUUCAGCUUGAAGUUUAAGGGUAUCUUAAACAAUCUGAAUGAGAUACUCGAUGUAUUUCAGAUAUAGGCAUCAGUUAUUGAAAGUAUGAGGGCUUUUUUAUUUAUUCUUGUAAAAAGAAAGUUUUUGCCUUCUGUGUUUAAUUUCAACUUUGUAACUGACAGUUGAGUUUUCGCUUAGUGAUUUGAUUUCACCUGGACAUGGUCUCAUGGAUGUAGACUAAGAUAGAUCUUAGUUGAACCAUGUAAAAAUCCUUGUGUCUUCUUUACUUUCUGCACUUAAUUUGUGCUUUGUUGA